AAUCAACGCUGGCGGCGUGCCUAACACAUGCAAGUCGAACGCGAAAGCCCCGCAAGGGGUAAGUAGAGUGGCAAACGGGUGAGUAACACGUGGGUGACCUGCCUUCGAGUGGGGGAUAACGUCCCGAAAGGGACGCUAAUACCGCAUAACAUCCUGCCUUUUAAGAGGUGGACAUCAAAGCUGGGGAUCGCAAGACCUAGCGCUUGAAGAGGGGCCCGCGCCUGAUUAGCUAGUGGUGGGGUAAUGGCUCACCAAGGCAACGAUCAGUAUCCGGCCUGAGAGGGCGGACGGACACACUGGGACUGAGACACGGCCCAGACUCCUACGGGAGGCAGCAGUGGGGGAAUAUUGCGCAAUGGGCGAAAGCCUGACGCAGCGACGCCGCGUGAGGGA
rnacentral:rRNA from 1 species